UGUGUAGGCGGACCGUUAAGUGCUUUGUGAAAUCCCCCGGCUCAACCGGGGAACUGCUUGGCAUACUGGCGGUCUUGAGCUGCCUAGGGGCGACUGGAACAAACGGUGGAGCGGUGAAAUGCGUAGAUAUCGUUUGGAACGCCAACGGUGAAAACAGGUCGCUGGGGGCAAGCUGACGCUGAGACACGAAAGCCAGGGGAGCAAACGGGAUUAGAUACCCCGGUAGUCCUGGCCCUAAACGAUGUCCACUAGAUCCUGGCGUCUCUGACGGCGUCAGGGUCGAAGCAAAAGUGCUAAGUGGACCGCCUGGGAAGUACGGUCGCAAGGCUAAA
rnacentral:rRNA from 1 species